GACGAACGCUGGCGGCGUGCCUAAUACAUGCAAGUCGAACGAGAGCGACCGGUGCUUGCACUGGUCAAUCUAGUGGCGAACGGGUGAGUAACACGUGGGUAACCUGCCCAUCAGAGGGGGAUAACAUCCGGAAACGGAUGCUAAAACCGCAUAGGUCUUCGAACCGCAUGGUUUGAAGAGGAAAAGAGGCGCAAGCUUCUGCUGAUGGAUGGACCCGCGGUGCAUUAGCUAGUUGGUGAGGUAACGGCUCACCAAGGCCGUGAUGCAUAGCCGACCUGAGAGGGUGAUCGGCCACAUUGGGACUGAGACACGGCCCAAACUCCUACGGGAGGCAGCAGUAGGGAAUCUUCCGCAAUGGACGCAAGUCUGACGGAGCAACGCCGCGUGAGUGAAGAAGGUUUUCGGAUCGUAAAACUCUGUUGUUAGAGAAGAACAAGUGCUAGAGUAACUGUUAGCGCCUUGACGGUAUCUAACCAGAAGGCCACGGCUAACUACGUG
rnacentral:rRNA from 1 species